ACCUAUGACUCACAACACCAAACCCAUAUGACAUCACUGAGGAUAAUCCUCAGUGCGAGCUUAACAAGUUAGAAGCAAUGAGGCAGUUAAUAAUGUUGUAGACAGAUGUAGCUGUAGGAAUAUAAAGUUCAACUUCUCUACAAACUUGACCAAGGAAGCAGAAAUAAAAAGGGCAAAUCCAAGAUGGUGCCUUCCACGCAUUGCUCUGAAGGCAGUCUUCUGAUGACCCAAACCAAAGACAAGUGCUUGUGAAAUACGCUGGUGAAACAACAGGAGCUGCUCAAAUGCAAUAUCCUGUGUUCUUAACGACAACACGUUAUUUGGAAGGGUCAACAUUGACUCUCACUGAACAGCUCUUUAAUAUGACCCACUCCUUCACAUCGCUGACCAGUCACCUCACUAGUCAAAGAAAAGAAAACCAUGCCCAGUAAUAGCUCAUACAUUUUUUUUUU